ensembl:lncRNA
GUGAAGUUCUCUCAGUGACUUUGUGUCUGUCGUUCAGGAUGAAUGUCUUGCUGUCCAUCUGUCUCUGGCUGUCUCUGAUGAUGUUAGUCUGCUGUGGAAUCAUUGAAAAGGAGACUCACACCAUGAAGACAUGUAUGAAUUCAAAGCGAAUAACUACACCUUUUAUUAUAACUUCUCUUAUGAUUAUUACUACGAUGUCUAUGAGCCUGAGCUCAUGAACAAGACGUUACUUCAAAACUACAAGUAAAGCUGGCGUGUAAGCCCGUCACUUACUCGCCUCAGGGAUUGGUCAGCUGAUACCGAUGCUCCUGCUGGGAUUGGCUGUCCAUCAAAUCUGGAACUGAUUGUGGGUGGAGCCAAAGACAGAGGCUUUAUCUGCGAUGAAAGUUGUAAUAAAAAAGACAAAAUAAAAGACUUUAUUUCUGAA